AUUGAACGCUGGCGGCAGGCCUAACACAUGCAAGUCGAGCGGAUGAAGGGAGCUUGCUCCUGGAUUCAGCGGCGGACGGGUGAGUAAUGCCUAGGAAUCUGCCUGGUAGUGGGGGAUAACGUCCGGAAACGGGCGCUAAUACCGCAUACGUCCUGAGGGAGAAAGGGGGGGAUCUUCGGACCUCACGCUAUCAGAUGAGCCUAGGUCGGAUUAGCUAGUUGGUGGGGUAAAGGCCUACCAAGGCGACGAUCCGUAACUGGUCUGAGAGGAUGAUCAGUCACACUGGAACUGAGACACGGUCCAGACUCCUACGGGAGGCAGCAGUGGGGAAUAUUGGACAAUGGGCGGAAGCCUGAUCCAGCCAUGCCGCGUGUGUGAAGAAGGUCUUCGGAUUGUAAAGCACUUUAAGUUGGGAGGAAGGGCAGUAAGUUAAUACCUUGCUGUUUUGACGUUACCAACAGAAUAAGCACCGGCUAACUUCGUG
rnacentral:rRNA from 1 species